rnacentral:snoRNA from 1 species
GCCUGGUGGUUCCCAAAGACUGCCAUCCCAUGCUGGUUGCUGGGUUUUGAUUGACAGGCAUAAAUAAACUCUGAUUUGAUGCAUGGAUGCUUCAACUUGCCCUAGCCCGGUUGCAGAGACAUAA